GGAACAUGCAUUUAGUUUCUGAGAAAUACAUAAUUUACGCGAAUCAAGGAACAAUGUCAGAACCUGUUUGGGAUCAAGCUCAUCAAUGACAGCAACUGCAGCUAAAGCAUCCGCAUAAGCUUUUAUCCCGAGGCCAAGUGCUUGAUCCAACAAUCUCUCUCUGCUUCUCUGCGAGAUCUGAAAUUUAAAACUCUCCACAAUUUGCCAUUGAUGCUGAAGCAACGGAAAUUUGGACAGUACACUUUUGUAAUCCUUAUUUCUAUGCAAACUAUGGUGAACGUGUUUAGCACGGGCGUAGCGGGCAGAAGAUUCUAAAAACAUUGAUUCAUCGAGACAACCCCAGAUAUUCUCCGGCGUAUCAACAAGAUACUUAACCCUACAUGCAAUUCCGUAAAUCCGAGCUUUUGCAGGGUCAGAAGAAACAACGGACUUAGGGGAUUCAGCAACGGUGGAAGAGAGAGAAUGAAUAAUGCCGUAGUGUAUCGCGGCUAUAUUGGCAGAAAUUGACUCACAUGAUGAUUUCAUUAGAACAAUGGAAUCAGCGGAAUCGAUGAGAUCUCGAUAACGAUUUCCGACGAGUUGCCGAAGCUCUUCGCUCUUGUCCUGGAUCUGUUUCCUGG
rnacentral:misc_RNA from 1 species